GUAGGCGCCGGGAGAGGGAGAUCCAACCAGCAAAGAAAAUGGAGCCUGAUUAAUGCGUCCGCAACACAAAAACCGGGCAGGGGCUGUCCUUUGUUUCUUUAUUUGUGACUUUGCAAUGUGGAUUUGAUUACAGCGCUCUGAACUCAGCAGAUUUCCUCCCCGCGCGCAGUGGAAAACAUUGAUGUCCUAUUUACAAAGAAUUUCUGGGAAGCCUGUUGCACAUACCGGUCUUUUCAGCAAGGAAGAAACUAAUCAGGGAGCCACAUCUAAAAGUCUUUGCUCAGACAGCUAACCAAAAUAAAGGAAAUUCAUGCUUGAAAUCUCUGUAGGCUAAAAAAGCGUACUCGGCCUGGUUAGAAAUCUGAGUUCCCAGUGCAGGCUGAAGAAAGCAAUGCCUUCACGACACAGCAGAAAGCCGUCCUGCCCCGAGGCUCUUCCUGAUGGAGCAGCAUCCCUACCCAUCGCCUGGUGCUCUGCGAGGGCUUCCAAUCGGAUCUGGCGGCUUUGUUCUGCUCGAUAGCGCCGUAAUGGGUCGUUUCUCCGACCUGCGCCGCGUGGGUAACAGAGGGGUCACGGAGGCUCCCACGUUAAGUCACCGGGGGUAGGAAUGAGACUCUAGAAGGCAGCUACACUGUUGCCAUUGAAGCCUGCUAGCCAGAGCUUCGCCAGCAGAGCUCAUUCGCUGGACUUCUUCCCCAGAGCACGUUUUUAUUCUCUUGUCGGCUUUUUGCUGCGUGUCUCUGUCUUUUUACGAGCAGCGCUGCAGGCUGUGCCCGUGACACUGCCUUCCAGCACCGCUCCUUCCGUCCGCACGGCUGCUCCGCGCACAUCUGCCUGCACUGAGCGUCGGGGGACGGAUUCCUUUCAGCUCCGUCCCUCCGAGAAACAACAUUUUGCCUUCUACUGCCCUGAGAUGAAUGAACUACAGAUUACUCCCACCAAGUUGUACUGAAACACUCUUGUAAUGAUACAAAAUACUACAAAAUACUGCACUGAAAGAAACCGGCCAGGCGCCAUGUAUACCAAUUCAAGCAUGGAGAAAUGGAGGCUGCUCACCAGUGGCUGGGUCUGCAAGAGACACAGCGCUGAUGCUGGCAAGUUUCAUAGUAAUGACUACUACAGACAGCUCUGGGUAGAUUUGGUAGUGGAUAACAGGUCACCACAUAAUUCCUUCUCCAGUAGGGAUCGUCUAGAUGAAAUAAAUAAGGAGUGAAGCUGCAUAUGGUUGCAAGAACAAUUUUCGGGUACCAUGGAUCAUGGAUCUCUCAUUUUUUUUUCUGGAUAUUCAAAACAAAACAAAACAAAACAAACAAAAAAAACACCAACCAAACAACAACAAAAAACAAAAACAAAAACAAAACAAAACAAAAAAAACGGAGGCUCUGAAAGCACCCCAGCCCCCCUGCUUCUCUCCUUAACUUCCUUAUGUCCUCAGCUGCAGUUAGGACUCUCCGGGGAGAACUUGUAUUCACUUAAUGCAGACUUGACUCAGCAAAAUGCGAUGAGGCACUGGCCAGACACUCGGUGAGUCCAUUUCAGAGAGCUAUGAGGGAACAGCCCUCUCUUCCUCCUCCUUAGGUGCCCCUGCAGAUUCCUGCUCCAGAAUUGGCUGGAUAACGGUACCAUUGGGAAACCCAUGAUGCUGACUGGACUGAUGUCAAGAACAGGAGAACCUACGUGAGAUGCCUGCAAGGUGUACAGCUGUAGGUGCCUCACGCUCUGCUGACAAGAUCCCUACCAGCUCCAAAGGCAGACUGAAGUGACUGUAGAGGGCUUUACAUGUGAGCUGGAGGCAGGCACCACUGGAAAGAGUCUGGCUCCAUUGCCUUUGCAUCCUCCCCUCCAGUAUUUAUGGACAUUGGUAAGAUCUUCCCCCCCACUUCCUUCUGGUCACCCCUGCACCUUUCUAGCUCUUCACCUGACCUAACCUGCAGAGCACCUGCAGAGCUUCAAGCAACGCUGUUCUCUACCUGUCCCCCACCUGGUUUGGGGCAUGCAGAAGAUGUCUUGGAAAUGCUGGGUGUAAUUCAUCUUUCAUCUGGAAGCACAGUAGUCACUGAGUUCCUCUAGGAUAUUAAAACCCAAGGUUCAAUUCUAUCCUCUCGUCAAAGAAAGUUGAAUCAUCAGCACUCAUAAGCUGAUUCACCUCCCUAAAGACAAUGAAUGCUAUUUGUUUUCUAUAUCAUAAUUUAAAAUAGUCAUUGAACUGGAGAAAGAUUGUUUUAUAGCCCAGUGGCCAGAACAUUCAUCCAAGGGGUGAGAGGAGCAGAGGGUAUUUCAUAGUACUUCUCUUGAGAUGACGCAGUCCUUGUCCUUCCUUUACUUACACUGUCAGACCACACCAAUAUGCGAGUACGAGAGUUCUUCAGAACUCCUCAGGCCCAGUGACAAAGGAUAUUGUCUGCCAUGGACAUUUCCAUUCAAACAAUAAGAAGGAUCUGAUAAAGGGAAUUUUCAAACCUCUGGGGUCUCGGAAACCACAGGACCACCUCUGCAUGCUCUGAUCUAAGCUUUUAAUACUUGGGUUACACAAACGUUUUCAAUUUGAUUCCGUAUAGAAUCGUUUAGCUUUUUAUUUCCAUGAGGGAAAAAAACAUAAUUAUUUGGAUGGAUCUGAACUACUUUUUUCCGUGUUUGAUUUUGCAACCAAAAAAUUCCUGAUAUGCAUAACACAUGAGAACUAUAAUUGCUUUCCAAUUCCUUAUCAGCACAUGAUCAUCCUCGCACUGAAACGCUACUCCCAGCUCCAGUACACCAACCUCCAACAUCUUUACACUAGGUUUUACACAGCUCUAAUGUGCCAAGGAUUUGAUCUGUGCAUUUGACUUUCAAUUAUAAUACUGUCCAUUGUAACACCAUAUGUCUGUAUCUACCAGACUGACCCUUAUGUUGCCAAAUAUGAGAAUCAGACCGAUUAAGUUGAGCUCACCAAUGCUUCAGCUCAAACUUCAGAGAGAAACUACUACAGUAUCUGUAUUUCUUCUUAUAGUAUUGAAUGACAAUUUGUUGAGAGCUUGUAAGCAAAAUUAGACUUCUACUUAUAUUCAUCGGCUUGAUUUAGUAGACUUAAUAUAUAUUCUCUUCUGGUUUCCUUUAUGUUAGUUCUGUAUAUUCAGAAUACAUGUUGCAAGCUCCAAAACCAUUACAGCUCCAAAACAACAGCUUCCCUGUAUGUACUGGUAAACAAUCCCUGCAGAAGUACUGCAUGCUUUGCAGUGACAAAAAAACAAAUGACAAACAAGACAUAACAGGUGAAUGGCAUCCAACAUUACCAUGCAUUAAAAAAGUGCAUGUAUAUAAGUAAGAAGAGAAUGCACUAAUAUAAUUAAGAAAUGGUCUUUUAACUUGGGAUUUAAAGAGCAGAGCGGGCCAGCUGUACAGAUAGCAAAAUGAAGAAGAGAACUCCACACGAGAGCCAAAUGAGCAAUCACACAAACCUGCGAGGCAGCAAACUGCACAGGGGGUGGGGAGCAGAACUAAAUCAGAAACAGAGAGUAUGUUGCAGAAGGAAAUAAACGUGAACCAUAUGGAAGAAUAUUCACAACACAUUAGUGUUUAAUUAGAUAAUAUAAUGGAUAAGGACACUUCUGCAGCGUCAUCAUAAACAAAGAUGAAUGGAAAAUGUGCUACUAAUAAAAACGGGUAAUGCAACUGCACUACAACUGUAAUUUGAUCAGUCACAAAUUUAAAAUAAAAAUAAUAUUUUGAUAUGAUAUUUUGCUACUGCAUCUAGUCGUAGAAAAGGAAGCACAGAAGCAGACAUUCUCAUCUGAGGUUCCAGAUACUUCAAAAGCAGAGCAAAAAAGUCCCCACAACUGCUUGCAAUCUGACCCUUGCACCCAGACUGGCAUCCCCAUGUCAUUGUGAACACACACAGGGCGCCUUUUGGAGAAAAAGCAUGGAACGGCCCUUCCAAUUUUCUUCCUCUUCUAAACUAUGACUUAACUGCGUGAAGGCUCUAAAAGAGAGAUAACAUCUGAAGUUAAUAUUAGCAUAGGAAAAUGAACCUGGAGGCCCUAGAUUUGUUUUCGUGCAUUUACUUUAUACGGCAUGCCAAGCUGACAUAGGUAACAGCACAGGUUAAUUGCUUCUGAGAGAAUAACAGAAGGCAACAAAUAGAGCAAAAGGAGAGUGAGAGAAACAAAAUGUUUUUUGAAGGCCUUUGUGAUCUUAACAAACACUUCUGAACAAGGAUGAUUUCUGAAAAGUCAGUCGCAUGCAUGCAAGUCAUCAUAGCUAUAUAUAGCUGCACACACACUGAUGUUUGGUGGCAGCUUACAUCCUUAUGUCUCUCAAGCAGGAUCAGUCUUUUCAAGUUGUGCAUGUCAAGAUGAUUUAUUAGCAGUCAGAGCUUCAAGCUUUAAAUGAAUAAAUAAAAUAUGGUAUAGAAAUAAUAAAAAAUAGAAGAUGAGUACAAAAGAAUGAUUUCCC
rnacentral:lncRNA from 1 species